UACAUAGGUCUCAAGCGUUGUUCGGAUUCAUUGGGCGUAAAGGGUGCGUAGGCGGCGCGGUAAGUCGGGUGUGAAAUCUUGGAGCUUAACUCCGAAACUGCAUUCGAUACUGCCGUGCUUGAGGACUGGAGAGGAGACUGGAAUUUACGGUGUAGCGGUGAAAUGCGUAGAUAUCAGGAGGAAUACCGGUGGCGAAAGCGACUCUCUGGACGGCAACUGACGCUGAGGCACGAAAGCGUGGGGAGCAAACAGG
rnacentral:rRNA from 1 species